rnacentral:rRNA from 1 species
AUUGAACGCUGGCGGCAGGCCUAACACAUGCAAGUCGAGCGGAUGAAGGGAGCUUGCUCCUGGAUUCAGCGGCGGACGGGUGAGUAAUGCCUAGGAAUCUGCCUGGUAGUGGGGGAUAACGUCCGGAAACGGGCGCUAAUACCGCAUACGUCCUGAGGGAGAAAGUGGGGGAUCUUCGGACCUCACGCUAUCAGAUGAGCCUAGGUCGGAUUAGCUAGUUGGUGGGGUAAAGGCCUACCAAGGCGACGAUCCGUAACUGGUCUGAGAGGAUGAUCGGUCACACUGGAACUGAGACACGGUCCAGACUACUACGGGAGGCAGCAGUGGGGAAUAUUGGACAAUGGGCGAAAGCCUGAUCCAGCCAGGCCGCGUGUGUGAAGAAGGUCUUCGGAUUGUAAAGAACUUUAAGUUGGGAGGAAGGGCAGUAAGUUAAUACCUUGCUGUUUUGACGUUACCAACAGAAUAAGCACCGGCUAACUUCGUG